GCCUCCGUGGUCUGGUGGACAGCGGCCUUGGCUACUAAACCGAAGGUCCUGGGUUCGAACCCCAGCCGGGGCG
rnacentral:tRNA from 1 species